rnacentral:rRNA from 1 species
CCUACGGGUGACAGCAGUGAGGAAUAUUGGUCAAUGGGCGGAAGCCUGAACCAGCCAAGUAGCGUGCAGGAUGACGGCCCUACGGGUUGUAAACCUCUUUUGUCGGAGAACAAAACCCGGGACGUGUCCCGGACUGCGUGUAUCCGAAGAAAAAGCAUCGGCUAACUCCGUGCCAGCAGCCGCGGUAAUACGGAGGAUGCGAGCGUUAUCCGGAUUUAUUGGGUUUAAAGGGUGCGUAGGCGGUCCGUUAAGUCAGCGGUAAAAUUGCGGGGCUCAACCCCGUCGAGCCGUUGAAACUGGCAGACUUGAGUUAGCGAGAAGUACGCGGAAUGCGCGGUGUAGCGGUGAAAUGCAUAGAUAUCGCGCAGAACUCCGAUUGCGAAGGCAGCGUACCGGCGCCAGACUGACGCUGAGGCACGAAAGCGUGGGGAUCGAACAGGAUUAGAUACCCUGGUAGUC